rnacentral:rRNA from 1 species
GUUGACCUCGGAUCAAGUAGGGAUACCCGCUGAACUUAAGCAUAUCAAUAAGCGGAGGAAAAGAAACCAACAGGGAUUGCCUCAGUAACGGCGAGUGAAGCGGCAACAGCUCAAAUUUGAAAUCUGGCGUCCGCCCGAGUUGUAAUUUGCAGAGGAUGCUUCGGGGCCGCGGCCGAUCUAAGUCCUUUGGAACAGGGCGUCAUAGAGGGUGAGAAUCCCGUAUGUGACCGGCUGGCACCCCACACGUAGCUCCUUCGACGAGUCGAGUUGUUUGGGAAUGCAGCUCUAAAUGGGAGGUAAAUUUCUUCUAAAGCUAAAUACCGGCCAGAGACCGAUAGCGCACAAGUAGAGUGAUCGAAAGAUGAAAAGCACUUUUGGAAAGAGAGUCAAACAGCACGUGAAAUUGUUGAAAGGGAAGCGCAUGCAACCAGAC